rnacentral:lncRNA from 1 species
CCCCCGACGACUUAUCAAAAAAAACAAGGAGUGAAAUCAUAAAAAGUUGUCACAUACAAAUUCUAUACCACCAAAAUGAACGAAGAGUAUAUCUUAAUUAAUAAUUUACAUUUAUUAUGAAGGAAGAAUUUUAUUAAUUCACAACCAUUACAUCGAGUUAAUACAAUAAAUGUGAAUUUAUUUUUGGCUUCAACCAAAAUACGGUCUAAGAGAAAGAAACCAGACACUUCAAUAACAAUCAAUCCUAAGACUAGAUCGCUACCCAUGUCUUCGGGAGAAAAAUUAAAUGCAUUAGCCGCUUGCAUCAAUUUUUGUGAUGCCUUCAACACUAAAGCCUGUGUGUAUGACUUUAAGGCCAGUCUCAAUGCAUUGUUUCAUUAUGGGUAUAACACCCCGAAAUUUCUAUUUCGGGUUGUUAUUAGAAAAUACUAAAUAAAAUGAAUGGUUUUAAUAUGUGGAUAAAAUUUGUCAACAAUAGUAUAGAUUUCUAUAUAUUUUUAUCAAAAAAAAUGGUGCUUUUCAAAUGUUUUGGAAUUAAUUAAAUGGUAUUUUUGUUGAUGUGAUGCUUGUCUAUUGCUUGAGUUUAUUUUUUUUUUGUUUUUUCAUGUGUGCUAAGAUUUUAAAAACACGUCUAAACGUCGUCCGAUCUUUUCCGAGAAUUUUUCGGGCUUUUUUGGGACGUUUCCCUUUUUCCUAAAGCAAAAAUCUAAUUUUUGAAUACUCUAAAAUUCUUUUUCAUAGACACCAAAAACUUUAUUUUGAUGGAUCAACUCUCAAUAUACCUCUAAAAGUUUUCCUUUAAUUUUUAGAAUUUUGGAAAUAUUUUUCAGGAAUUUAAAAUGAUUUCAGCUUUUUCUGGAAUUAUUUUUGAUCUGAAAAUGGAUUUCUAAAAAUCCCGAAAUUAAGAAAAUUUGAAAAGUUUCCAAACCCUAGACCUAUAUAUAUGCCGGCGUAGCCCUCGACGCGCUGAUUGCAGAAGUACAACCCUUUUUCGAGCCGCCGUUCGUAGCGCCGCAGAUCCAUCGCCGAAGUUUUGGAUCUCGUUUCCGGCGAACUUUUCCGGCGAACCUUCGGCGAGAGUUUCCGGCCAUCUCCGGCAUCCUCCACGAAAACCGUCACCAUCCCGAGGUUCGUCUCAUCGUCCUCUGCACCGGCACAUCAUUUGUUUCGCAAAUCCAUGUCCGUAUGACCGAAUCCCUUUCCCAUCUCUCUUUUCCGGCGAACCACCAUGACUAACGUUCUCCUCCUUGUUUUUCCGGUCAUCUUCGCUAGGGCCGCGACCCCCUCAGUGAGGCACACCUGCAGGUCCUAUCAGCACCACCAUACUGUGCCCUCUGCCCGCUCCUCUUCGCACGCGCGCCGAGCAGGAUUGGCUGCCGCUCCUCUGCAGACCGACACCCUAGUGCGAACACGUCCUGGCCACGCGCCUCAAGCUUGG